UGGGCGUAAAGAGCUCGUAGGUGGUUUGUCGCGUUGUUCGUGAAAUCUCACGGCUUAACUGUGAGCGUGCGGGCGAUACGGGCAGACUUGAGUACUGCAGGGGAGACUGGAAUUCCUGGUGUAGCGGUGGAAUGCGCAGAUAUCAGGAGGAACACCGGUGGCGAAGGCGGGUCUCUGGGCAGUAACUGACGCUGAGGAGCGAAAGCGUGGGGAGCGAACAGGAUUAGAUACCCUGGUAGUCCACGCCGUAAACGGUGGGUACUAGGUGUGGGUUUCCUUCCUUGGGAUCCGUGCCGUAGCUAACGCAUUAAGUACCCCGCCUGGGGAGUACGGCCGCAAGGCUAAAACUCAAAGAAAUUGACGGGGGCCCGCACAAGCGGCGGAGCAUGUGGAUUAAUUCGAUGCAACGCGAAGAACCUUACCUGGGUUUGACAUGCACAGGACGCCGGCAGAGAUGUCGGUUCCCUUGUGGCCUGUGUGCAGGUGGUGCAUGGCUGUCGUCAGCUCGUGUCGUGAGAUGUUGGGUUAAGUCCCGCAACGAGCGCAACCCUUGUCUCAUGUUGCCAGCGGGUAAUGCCGGGGACUCGUGAGAGACUGCCGGGGUCAACUCGGAGGAAGGUGGGGAUGACGUCAAGUCAUCAUGCCCCUUAUGUCCAGGGCUUCACACAUGCUACAAUGGCCGGUACAAAGGGCUGCGAUGCCGCGAGGUUAAGCGAAUCCUUUUAAAGCCGGUCUCAGUUCGGAUCGGGGUCUGCAACUCGACCCCGUGAAGUCGGAGUCG
rnacentral:rRNA from 1 species